rnacentral:rRNA from 1 species
ACUCCUACGGGAGGCAGCAGUGGGGAAUAUUGCACAAUGGGCGCAAGCCUGAUGCAGCCAUGCCGCGUGUAUGAAGAAGGCCUUGGGUUGUAAAGUACUUUCAGCAGUGAGGAAGGUGGGGUAUGUUAAUAGCAUAUUCUAUUUGUACGUUAGCUGCAGAAGAAGCACCGGCUAACUCCGUGCCAGCAGCCGCGGUAAUACGGAGGGUGCGAGCGUUAAUCGGAAUUACUGGGCGUAGAGCGCAUGCAGGUGGUUUGUUAAGUCAGAUGUGAAAGCCCGGGGCUCAACCUCGGAAUUGCAUUUGAAACUGGCAAACUAGAGUACUGUAGAGGGGGUAGAAUUUCAGGUGUAGCGGUGAAAUGCGUAGAGAUCUGAAGGAUACCGGUGGCGAACGGCGGCCCCGUGGACAGAUACUGACACUCAGAUGCGAAAGCGUGGGAGCAAACAGGAUUAGAUACCCCGUGUAGGUCAGUC